GCCCGCAUGGCUCAGUGGUAGAGCGUGUCACUAGUAGUUCAACGUGUUUCAUCCGGAUCCCUUGGCUUACUGGGUUAAUGACAAGGUCGCUAGUUCGAUUCUGGCUGUGGGCA